GACGAACGCUGGCGGCGUGCUUAACACAUGCAAGUCGAACGGAAAGGCCCUGCUUUUGUGGGGUGCUCGAGUGGCGAACGGGUGAGUAACACGUGAGUAACCUGCCCUUGACUUUGGGAUAACUUCAGGAAACUGGGGCUAAUACCGGAUAGGAGCUCCUGCUGCAUGGUGGGGGUUGGAAAGUUUCGGCGGUUGGGGAUGGACUCGCGGCUUAUCAGCUUGUUGGUGGGGUAGUGGCUUACCAAGGCUUUGACGGGUAGCCGGCCUGAGAGGGUGACCGGCCACAUUGGGAAUGGGAUACGGCCCAGACUCCUACGGGGGGCAGCAGUGGGGAAUAUUGCACAAUGGGCGGAAGCCUGAUGCAGCAACGCCGCGUGCGGGAUGACGGCCUUCGGGUUGUAAACCGCUUUCGCCUGUGACGAAGCGUGAGUGACGGUAAUGGGUAAAGAAGCACCGGCUAACUACGUG
rnacentral:rRNA from 1 species